GGGUGGUUGAGGGUUGUGCAGUGUGAGUGAGGGUGGCCAGAAAAACCAUUUCUGUGACAGUUACAAAGGCUGUGUGUGGAUGGUGAUGCUGAGGUUUUAUCUCCAACCUGGUGGGACUGAAUCGACCUUCAGAUCUCAGCGAUGAGUCCUCUAGACUGCAGGUUCCACAGCAGUUGCAGCUCCCAUGGCUUUAGAUUGGAGCUGCCUGUGACAUGCAGAGAUGGAAGCACAGCGUCAGCUGUGGUGAACGGCAGCCUCUUUCAGCCCCCAGUGUCUCUCAUGGAAACCCAAGGUGGGAGAAAGAAGCAGAAAGAAAUCCUGGAACCAAAAAGCACUUCAGCAAUGAAGACUGGAUUUUCUCUGAUUAUGAACAGCAAAAUAAAAU
rnacentral:lncRNA from 1 species